CGAGUGGUGACCUAAGUGGUAAGAGUAUUCGCCUCGGAUGCGGGAGGUCGUGGGUUCGAACCCAGGCCGAGUCAA